GAUGAAGAACGUAGCGAAAUGCGAUAAGUAAUGUGAAUUGCAGAAUUCAGUGAAUCAUCGAAUCUUUGAACGCACAUUGCGCCCGGUAGUAUUCUGCGGGGCAUGCCUGUUCGAGCGUCAUUUCAACCAUCAAGCCCCAGCGCUUGUGUUGGGGGCCUGCGGCUGCCGCAGCCCCCUAAAAGCAGUGGCGGGCUCGCUAUCACACCGAGUGCAGUAGUUCAUCUUCUCUCCGGUCUUGUGAGGCGGGUUCCGGCCGUGAAACACCCCACUACAUUCAAGGUUGACCUCGGAUCAGGUAGGAAUACCCGCUGAACUUAAGCAUAUCAAUAAGCGGAGGA
rnacentral:misc_RNA from 1 species